rnacentral:rRNA from 1 species
AUGGAUCCAACGACGACGAUGGCCCGGCCGAGCAAGAAGUCGCGGCAGUCCGGCUCUGGCCUGGCGGAGCUCGCCGCCCACCUCACCAAGCGCCUCGCCGACGCUAACCCCAGCUCCAACCUCGUCUUCUCUCCGCUGUCCAUCUACGCCGCCGUCGCGCUCCUGGCUCCGGGCGCCCGGGGGGCCACCCUGGACGAGGUCCUCCGCCUCCUCGGCGCGCGCUCCCGCGAAGAGCUCGAGGAAUCCAUCUCCCGCGUGGCGAACGACGCGCUCCAGGACCUGUCCGGAUCCGGCGGCCCGAGCGUCGCGUUCGCAUGCGGCAUGUGGAACGACGAAAGGCGGCCCCUGAAGCCGGCUUACCGCGAGGCCGUCGUCGGCACGUACAGAGCGGAGGCGCGCAGCCUGGAUUUCCGGGAGAACUCGGCGGAAGCGGCGCGUCACAUCAACGCCUGGGUCGCGGAGGUCACGAGAAACCUCAUCGACGACGUCGUCUCACCGAGCGACGUUGGCAUGGCGACCGACGUCGUGCUCGCCAACGCCAUAUACUUCAAAGGCAAGUGGAACCUGCCGUUCCGCGAGACGGCCACCAGGGACAGGCCGUUCCACCGGCUCGAGGGAACCGCCGUCGACGCGCCCUUCAUGUACAACCCCGCCCGCCAAUUUAUUGCCGUGCAUGACGGGUUCAAGGUGCUCAAGCUGCAGUACAAGAUGCGGCAGCGAGGAUAUCAACCCACACAGUACUCUAUGUGCAUCUUCCUGCCAGACGCCUACGACGGCCUGCGGAGCCUCGUCGACGAGAUAACCUCCCGUCCGGGCUUCGUGCACGAUCACCUGCCGGUGAUGCCCGUCAAGGUCGGCGACUUCGGGGUUCCCAAGUUCAAACUCAAUUUCUCGAGCAGAAUGGCCGAAAUCCUCAAACAGCUGGGCCUCGUUCUGCCGUUCGGCCAGGGUUCUGAUCUGUUGGACAUGGUGGAGGACGACGGCACCGGCUCCCCUUUGCUCGGUCAAGAGGUCAUCCAUAAGGCUGUCAUCGAGGUCAACGAGGAAGGGACGGAAGCAGCCGCUCUCACCAUGCCGUUCCUGCCUCCUGGAUGUUCUCGUGUGAUGAUGUCGGAGCCCAUGGUGGAUUUCGUCGCCGACCAUCCCUUCGCGUAUUUCAUAGUCGAGGAGGCCUCCGGCGCGAUCCUCUUUGCAGGGCAUGUCGUCUACCCA